AUGCUUAAUGUUGGUUAAACGGUUAAUUAUUAACAUCCCUAGUGUUUAUAGAAUCGAUACAGUAUCACAAAACAUGUCACGAUGCUCAGUAUUUUCUAUAUUUCCUUACACCCCCUAACUUUCCCGAACAAUUCCUUUUAAGAGUAACAUAAAAUGCAAUGCUCUGAAAACGUUUUGAUCUUUGCUUGUGCGUGACUGAUAAUGACAUGACAUGAUAACACCUCUGCUUUUCAUAUGUUUCCGACCCUACAAUUUGCAAAUAAUUGAAGGGUUGGUUCAAUUCAUCACAAACCAGGACAAUUCCGAUCCUGUAAGGAUGAAACACACUGAUAUGAUUAUCAAAAAGACACACAAGGAAUAUCAGUGAUGAGCAGUGCAGCUGGAGACAAUAAACUGGUAGAAGAACCAAUUACCAGCAGGUGACAAGCUGGUGGUUCGGGGCUUUCAACAUGUCAUUAUCUGCACAUCGACAUUUCCAAGAGCCCUGACAGGCCAUUUCUGAGGCUGCCACGAUUGACUCCAGGACAAAGAUCCAGCACACAUCGAACUGACAGCAUGAAAGGCUCGAUAAUUUUUGCCCCAGAAGACACUGAUACAUUUUACCGGAUUGCUUUGUCUCACGCGACCUGAUGUAAUGUGACAGGAAAGUGUGCUAUAUGAAACAAGAAAUGCGUUUGUAAUACAAAUGAGAUGUCUUUCUGUCUCUUUCGGGAUGUCUGGUGUGAUUUUUUUUUUUUAAAAGAACUGAUGAAAUAAAGUCAACAUGAAACAUCUACUUGAGGAUUAGUACCUUCUAUUCCUCUCUUAGUGAUCUACACAUCAUAUUAAAGGAGAGGUCCUCGGUGGUUUCAUCUGUCUCAUUAUCGCAUUACAUUCACAACUGACCCCUAUGACUCCAUUUACACCUGGUAUUAAAGGAAUAGUUUGGGUGAUUUGAAGUGCGGUUGUAUGAGGUACUUAUCUUUAGUAAGUGUAUUACCUAGAGUA